rnacentral:rRNA from 1 species
CCUACGGGAGGCUGCAGUGAGGAAUCUUGGUCAAUGGGCGCGAGCCUGAACCAGCCAAGUCGCGUGAGGGAAGACGGUCCUAUGGAUUGUAAACCUCUUUUGUCGGGGAGAAAAAGACGCCACGCGUGGCGUUCCGAGAGUACCCGAAGAAAAAGCAUCGGCUAACUCCGUGCCAGCAGCCGCGGUAAUACGGAGGAUGCGAGCGUUAUCCGGAUUGAUUGGGUUUAAAGGGUGCGCAGGCGGAAGAUCAAGUCAGCGGUAAAAUUGAGAGGCUCAACCUCUUCGAGCCGUUGAAACUGGUUUUCUUGAGUGAGCGAGAAGUAUGCGGAAUGCGUGGUGUAGCGGUGAAAUGCAUAGAUAUCACGCAGAACACCGAUUGCGAAGGCAGCAUACCGGCGCUCAACUGACGCUCAUGCACGAAAGUGUGGGGAUCGAACAGGAUUAGAUACCCGAGUAGUC